AUUGAACGCUGGCGGCAGGCCUAACACAUGCAAGUCGAACGAGUGGCGGACGGGUGAGUAAUGUCUGGGAACCUGCCCGAUGGAGGGGGAUCACUACUGGAAACGGUAGCUAAUACCGCAUACCAUCGGAUGUGCCCAGAUGGGAUUAGCUAGUAGGUGGGGUAACGGCUCACCUAGGCGACGAUCCCUAGCUGGUCUUAGAGGCGGACCAGACACACUGGAACUGAGCCACGGUCCAGACUCCUACGGGAGGCAGCAUGGGGGACUAUUGCACAAUGGGCGCAAGCCGGAGGCAGCCAUGCCGCGUGUAUGAAGCAGGCCUUCGGGUGGUAAAGUACUUUCAGCGAGGAGGCGUUACUCGCAGAAGAAGCGCCGGCGAACUCCGUGCCAGCAGCCGCGGUAAUUC
rnacentral:rRNA from 1 species